GACGUAGGGUCCAAGCGUUGUCCGGAGUUACUGGGCGUAAAGCGCGCGCAGGCGGUUGGUCGCAUCGGUGGUGAAAGCCCCCCGCUUAACGGGGGAGGGUCCAUCGAGAUGGGCCGACUGGAGGCAGGGAGAGGCGAGUGGAAUUCCGGGUGUAGUGGUGAAAUGCGUAGAGAUCCGGAGGAACACCAGCGGCGAAGGCGGCUCGCUGGACCUGACCUGACGCUGAGGCGCGAAGGCGCGGGGAGCGAACGGG
rnacentral:rRNA from 1 species